GAUGAAGAACGUAGCGAAAUGCGAUAAGUAAUGUGAAUUGCAGAAUUCAGUGAAUCAUCGAAUCUUUGAACGCACAUUUCGCCCGCCAGUAUUCUGGCGGGCAUGCCUGUUCGAGCGUCAUUUCAACCAUCAAGCCCCCGGGCUUGUGUUGGGGACCUGCGGCUGCCGCAGGCCCUGAAAAGCAGUGGCGGGCUCGCUGUCACACCGAGCGUAGUAGAUUUUAUCUCGCUCUGGGCGUGCUGCGGGUUCCGGCCGUUAAACCACCCUUUUAACCCAAGGUUGACCUCGGAUCAGGUAGGAAGACCCGCUGAACUUAAGCAUAUCAAUAAGCGGAGGA
rnacentral:misc_RNA from 1 species